rnacentral:rRNA from 1 species
UGGCGACGGGUGAGUAACGCGUGGGUAACCUGCCCUGUACAGGGGGACAACAGUUAGAAAUGACUGCUAAUACCGCAUAAGCGCACAGGACCGCAUGGUCCGGUGUGAAAAACUCCGGUGGUACAGGAUGGACCCGCGUCUGAUUAGGUAGUUGGCGGGGUAACGGCCCACCAAGCCGACGAUCAGUAGCCGACCUGAGAGGGUGACCGGCCACAUUGGGACUGAGACACGGCCCAAACUCCUACGGGAGGCAGCAG